UGGACAGAAAUACCUCCCUGGGGCUAUUUCCAGAACCCCCCACUUCUGGAGUCCAUCUCUGAGGUGGCCCUGGACACCUGGGAGGCCUCUCCGUGCCCUCUGCCAGGGCUCCAGCAGGACCUUCCUGCUUCUCCCCACGAAUCCGGCUUUCUGGUCCCCAAACGGCAUAUUAUCUGGGCACACCCUCCCCUUCAUUUACCCAGAGUGACCAAAGUUCCAACCACACCUCUCCGGGCCGCCUGUCCCCAAAUUUCGGGGAAGUGGGCAGGAGGGGGAACUUUGCCGGGCAGGAAGGGGAACUUUGCCAGGCAAGAGCUCUGCGGGCAGAGGCGGGCACUGGUCAGACCAGCCUCCUCCUGGGGACCAAGGUCGGGCGCCCCUGCCCAGCCCCUGCCCCUGCCCUGCCCGGCUGCGAAGGGACUGGGAGGUCUGGCGAGGAAGAGCCUGGAAGAUCCCGCCCACAGCUACCAGCCCUCCUUUGGGACCGCUGGCCAGAGCCCCAGCUGUGGGACACACGGAACCUGUGGACUCAGCCGGGGUCACCUGGAGGGGCGCCCACGUCUGCACCCGGGGCUCCGGAGCCUGCUCCCCGCCACUGUCGCCGCCGGCCCUGCCCAACUCGCAUGGCGCAAGCGGCUUCUGCGCCUAGGGAAGGAAGGCACGCGGGGUGGGGGCCCCGGUUUCUCUGCCGCCCGACGCACGUGGCUCGGUCCCAGGGCAGAGGGGUCGCCUCCAGACGCGUGGCGGCACCCGAGGUCCGCGCGGCGAUGGCGCAGGGUGCAACCGGGCGGGUGUCUCGGGGACCCGGCGCAGCACACAGCCCCGCGGAGACCGGGGGAGGGGUCACUCACCUCUGCGGCCAGCCGCUCGGAGCAACCGCGGCAGCUGAAGGUCCGCGGCGAAGGCAGUGGCUCGGCCCGAGGCUCCUCCUCUCGCGCGCCCCACCCGCCCGGGAGGGCCGGACCUGCAGGGGAGGUGGCCGCCCGCCAGCCCGCCGCAGCUUAUCCGGCUCGGCCACCUCCCCCGGGGCCGCAAUCAGGAGCCUCCGGGUCCUCGCUCCCCGCCCAGUCCUGCAGGCCCGGCAGCGGUGGCGGCGUCUAA
rnacentral:lncRNA from 1 species